rnacentral:lncRNA from 1 species
AGAGAAAGCCGCAAUAAAGUAGCUUCUUUUUUUUUUGAGAGAGAUAGGUAGCAGUAUACUAUUCGUUUUAUUUAUUUCAUGUAGAAAUAAAUUUAACUGAAAAAGUGAAUCAAUUAGGAUUCAAACUUGGGACCUCGGGUGCUAACCAGUAAAUCUUUUGCUACUUGCACUAGAGACGGUCGAUCGCAAUAAAGUAACUAUUGAAGUCCCCA